UACAGUGGGGGCCAGCGUUAUUCGGAAUUAUUGGGCGUAAAGGGCGCGUAGGCGGCCAUGCGUGUCUUUCGUGAAACCCCUCGGCUUAACUGAGGACGUGCGGAAGAAACUGCAAGGCUUGAGUCCGGGAGAGGGGGGUGGAAUUCCCAGUGUAGCGGUGAAAUGCGUAGAUAUUGGGAGGAACACCGGUGGCGAAGGCGGCCCCCUGGACCGGUACUGACGCUGAGGCGCGAAGGCCAGGGGAGCAAACGGG
rnacentral:rRNA from 1 species